rnacentral:lncRNA from 1 species
GUCAUGUUUUAGUGAUAGAAGUGUAAAUAGGAAAGAAAGAAAUCUUAAUACAGAGAAUGUAUACAUGUAGUUCUGUACUAAUAAGAGAUGAACUUUACUACAAGUUUGAUUGUAUAUUGUCUUUGCGAUUGCACAUUGUGUGAAUGGUUUGGGUUUUUUAUUGCUCAGUGUGUUUGGGAAUUUCUGUUAAAUCAUGCUUUGAUAAAGUUGACGAACUAUAUAGUUAUAAAGUAAAGCUAUACCAUAGAUAAAGUUGGCGAUCUAUAUAGUUAUAAAAUAAAGCUAUGCCAUAGAUAAAGUUAGCGAUCUAUAUAGUUAUAAAGUAAAGCUAUGCCAUAGAUAAAGUUGGCGAUCUAUAUAGUUCUAAGCUAUGCCAUAGAUAAUGAUAUAUAUGUAUAU